UACGGAGGGUGCAAGCGUUAUCCGGAUUCGCUGGGUUUAAAGGGUGCGUAGGUGGGCAGGUAAGUCAGUGGUGAAAUCUCCGAGCUUAACUCGGAAACUGCCAUUGAUACUAUCUGUCUUGAAUACCGUGGAGGUUAGCGGAAUAUGUCAUGUAGCGGUGAAAUGCUUAGAUAUGACAUAGAACACCAAUUGCGAAGGCAGCUGGCUACACGAAUAUUGACACUGAUGCACGAAAGCGUGGGGAUCAAACAGG
rnacentral:rRNA from 1 species